rnacentral:rRNA from 1 species
GAUGAACGCUGGCGGCGUGCCUAAUACAUGCAAGUCGAGCGAACAGACGAGGAGCUUGCUCCUCUGACGUUAGCGGCGGACGGGUGAGUAACACGUGGAUAACCUACCUAUAAGACUGGGAUAACUUCGGGAAACCGGAGCUAAUACCGGAUAAUAUAUUGAACCGCAUGGUUCAAUAGUGCAAGACAGUUUUGCUGUCACUUAUAGAUGGAUCCGCGCCGCAUUAGCUAGUUGGUAAGGUAACGGCUUACCAAGGCAACGAUGCGUAGCCGACCUGAGAGGGUGAUCGGCCACACUGGAACUGAGACACGGUCCAGACUCCUACGGGAGGCAGCAGUAGGGAAUCUUCCGCAAUGGGCGAAAGCCUGACGGAGCAACGCCGCGUGAGUGAUGAAGGUCUUCGGAUCGUAAAACUCUGUUAUUAGGGAAGAACAAAUGUGUAAGUAACUAUGCACGUCUUGACGGUACCUAAUCAGAAAGCCACGGCUAACUACGUG